rnacentral:rRNA from 1 species
UGGGGAAUAUUGGACAAUGGAGGAAACUCUGAUCCAGCAAUUCUGUGUGUGUGAAGAAGGUUUUAGGACUGUAAAACACUUUUAGUAGGGAAGAAAAAAAUGACGGUACCUACAGAAGAAGCAACGGCUAAAUACGUGCCAGCAGCCGCGGUAAUACGUAUGUUGCGAGCGUUACCCGGAAUUAUUGGGCUUAAAGGGCAUCUAGGCGGUAAGACAAGUUGGAGGUGAAAUCCUGUGGCUCAACCAUAGGCUUGCCUACAAAACUGUUGAACUAGAGUACUGGAAAGGUGGGUGGAACUACACGAGUAGAGGUGAAAUUCUUAGAUAUGUGUAGGAAUGCCGAUGAUGAAGAUAACUCACUGGACAGAAACUGACGAUGAAGUGCGAAAGCUAGGGGAGCAAACAGG